rnacentral:rRNA from 1 species
UACGUAGGGGGGCUAGCGUUGUCCGGAAUCAUUGGGCGUAAAGAGCGUGUAGGCGGCCCGGUAAGUCCGCUGUAAAAAGUCAAAGGCUCAACCUUUGAAUGUCAGUGGAUACUGCCGGGCUAGAGUCCGGAAGAGGCGAGUGGAACUCCUGGUGUAGCGGUGGAAUGCGCAGAUAUCAGGAAGAACACCAACGGCGAAGGCAGCUCGCUGGGACGGUACUGACGCUGAGGUGCGAAAGCGUGGGGAGCAAACAGG